ACUUACUGCAAUAUCACUUUGAAAAUAUCGGUUCUCGUUCUAUCACAGAAGUUAAGUAACGUCGAGCCUCGUUAGUACUUAAGAACCGGUUGGGAAACCUAAGUGCUGUAAUCA
rnacentral:rRNA from 1 species